UUUACAUAUUACAUUAUACUCGUACGCAGUACACAGUACACAUUCACACGUGGUCAAAGUCAAAUUCAAACGGAUCUCAAAUUGUUUAUAGAUCAAUUAGUAGUGUUUGAUUUAAAGUUUAUCGUACCUAGUUGAGAUUUUUUAAAGAAGACAUUUCUUUCAAGAUGUUACGAUUUGUAGCGACGAAACAAUUUAAUAAGUUUUUGGUUCGAGGUCCAGGUCUUCGAUUUAGCAGUAAUGUAGUACGAGUAAACUCGUCUCAAAAGUUAACGGACAGUUACACGUUGAAAGAGCUCUACAACGGUCUCGUAAAUAUAAACACACAAUUGGGAGGAAUUUUGGCUCAAAUGGAACGGCAGGGGGCACGAAUGGAGAGGGUGCAGAGGGAACUUGAUCAGAUGAUCCUGGAGAGUAUACAAUAUAGGCCUAAGACGAUCGAGUAUGUUUCAUAUGUGGCUCGUGGAAUGGCAACGGUGGCUUUUUACACAAUUGUAAUUAAGAUCUGUUUGGAACAGUAAACAAGAAUCGAGAAACUAUAACGAUGCCAUUGUUGUAGUAGAUACCUGUCUUUAUUUUUUUUUUAAUGUAAAAAGUUGAAAAUUAACUCAAUUAAGUCAUUUUUUUCAUUAUUUUUUAAGUUAUCCUUAUCUUACAAAACACCUUACAAGUUACAAGUUUCAAUUUUUCGUUAUUCAUAUUCCUACUUUCUUUAGUUGGUAACUAGCUUCUAUUCUUUCAUUUUUGUAUUGAAAAUAUUGAAAUUUAAAAAAUAAAAAUGUACAAAACAGAA